rnacentral:rRNA from 1 species
GAAUCUUGCGCAAUGGGCGAAAGCCUGACGCAGCCAUGCCGCGUGAAUGAUGAAGGUCUUAGGAUUGUAAAAUUCUUUCACCGGGGACGAUAAUGACGGUAUACGGAGAAGCAGCCCCGCACAACUUCGUGCCAGCAGCCGCGGUAAUACGAAGGGGGCUAGCGUUGCUCGGAAUUACUGGGCGUAAGGGCGCGUAGGCGGAUCGUUAAGUCAGAGGUGAAAUCCCAGGGCUCAACCCUGGAACUGCCUUUGAUACUGGCGAUCUUGAGUAUGAGAUAGGUAUGUGGAACUCCGAGUGUAGAGGUGAAAUUCGUAGAUAUUCGGAAGAACACCAGUGGCGAAGGCGACAUACUGGCUCAUUACUGACGCUGAGGCGCGAAAGCGUGGGGAGCAAACA